ensembl:snoRNA SNORD116 Small nucleolar RNA SNORD116
GGAUCGAUGAUGACUCCCACAAAAACAUUCCUUGGAAGCUGAACAAAAUGAGUGAAAACUCUAUACCGUCGUCCUCAUCGAACUGAGGUCC